AUAAAUUUAUUUCUGAUUGUCAUAGAUCUCACUGAAGAAGCCCUAUGGCAUCCUGAGAAUUGGUGUAAUCAGCACAGAGUCUUCCAUAAACAGUAAGAUCUGGAGAACAUUAUCCUACAUAGAAAUCUCACUUUCUUUUAAAUUUUUCCCAGGAUAUACUCCAUGGCUCUAGUGAACAACUUUGGCUUCCACAGCUAACAAAAGAAUGAAGAACAUGUCUCAGUUUAACCAACAAUUGUCCAUGCCGGGGAGUUAUAGAACCAUCAUCUCCCUCUUCUUCAAGUAUGAGAUACGUCAGGGAUACAGUGAAACAAGAGGAAAAAAAGACAAUUUUCUAGUAACCUUUGGAAACAUCUAAAUAACCCACACAUCUUUAUGGCUGAGUGACUCCUUGGAUUACGGAAACUUUUGAGCUUAUGUUUGCGAAGACUUCCAUUAACAUCUUUGAGCAACCUCUCAACUCAUUUUAAAACAACGGCAUCAUUCAAUAGAAGCAAAUUUAGCCUCUCCAGUCCUUUCCUCAUCCUGCCAGCUUUCCUAAUCACUCCUAUGAUAUGCUCCUGAAACCCUCAUUCAGGCUCCAAUGGAGAAUUCUCACCCGGAGGUCACAAUGUUCUGGGAGUGGAGGCAGAAGGACCUUUACUGUCUGAGGUUAGAGUCUUAUUUUGGUCUCAUUUAAAAUAAACCAACAUUUCUCCCUCCUCA
rnacentral:lncRNA from 1 species